rnacentral:rRNA from 1 species
AUACGUAGGUGGCAAGCGUUAUCCGGAUUUACUGGGUGUAAAGGGCGUGUAGGCGGGUCUGCAAGUCAGAUGUGAAAUCUCCGGGCUUAACUCGGAAGUGUCAUCUGAAACUACGGAUCUUGAGUACUGGAGAGGAUAGUGGAAUUCCUAGUGUAGCGGUAAAAUGCGUAGAUAUUAGGAGGAAAACCAGUGGCGAAGGCGGCUAUCUGGACAGUAACAGACGCUGAGGCGCGAAAGCGUGGGGAGCAAAAAGGAUUAGAUGCCCUGGUAGUCCACGCCGUAAACGAUGAAUACUAGGUGUCGGGUUUCUAUAGAGAUUCGGUGCCGCAGCAAACGCAAUAAGUAUUCCACCUGGGGAGUACGUUCGCAAGAAUGAAACUCAAAUGAAUUGACGGGG